rnacentral:rRNA from 1 species
UACGUAGGGGGCAAGCGUUGUCCGGAAUCAUUGGGCGUAAAGCGCGUGUAGGCGGCUUGGUAAGUCCGCUCUGAAAGCCCGGGGGCUCAACCCCGGGAGGCGGGUGGAUACUGCUGGGCUCGAGUCCGGAAGAGGAGUGUGGAAUUCCUGGUGUAGCGGUGAAAUGCGCAGAUAUCAGGAGGAACACCAAUGGCGAAGGCAGCACUCUGGGACGGUACUGACGCUGAGACGCGAAAAGCGUGGGGAGCAAACAGG